rnacentral:lncRNA from 1 species
UAGAAUUCAAGCUCUCAACUUGUAUUCAUAAACUCACUGCCAAGUUAAGAAUCUCUUUUCCUCUCAAGUUGCCAACAAAGUGUCAUAAGAUUCUCUGGAAUUAGUACAAGUUGAGAUGUCUAACAACCAGAACCAGGGACAGUUUCUAGCGGUCUUAAUAGAUAAAAUAGUCAUACAUGUGAACGGUAACAAUUCUUCUUGUAUCCACAGCGACUAGGAAGCUCAAUGGCAUCAUUGCAAAGCUAAUUCAGUGGCUUUCAUCUGCGAUGCUCAUGCAAGAAAUGAUCUGGCGAGUGGAUCAAGAGGACAAGGUACAUCGUCAAUCCGGGUAAAAGCUACUUCCCCUAAGGCACAGAAAUCAGAGUGGUGGCAAAAGUGUAUUGACUUGGGUUCUGGUACGAUGAUCAAUAUGUGAGGAUCCAGUAAUAGUUGAAAGAGGAUGUGUGGAUGUAAAUAUUAAUUGAGUGGAAAUUGUGUUAAAAGAGCUUAUAUCCAUGUACAAAGUAACAAAGAUGACUACUUUUGAUCAACAGAAAUAGUACUUGAUGCAUAUUUAACACAGGAUGUGUGCAGAGGUGUUUCUUUACAUCACGGUGCUCAUUUUUGUGCACCUUACUUGUGGGACUGGACUCGAUUACGAGUGUCGAAUCCAACCUGACCGACCCAUGUGUAAUUUGACUGGUGAUAUCUGCACCUGAAGGAUCUGGGAUGAACUGUAGGAGAGCACAGGCACCAGUUGGCUGUGCCUCCGCCACCUCCGCCAUUCCCUCUUGCUUCCUCAUUCGAUGCCUCGUUGCCAUCGGCUUCGCGUGCCACCGUCUCUGGCGGGGCAACCUGUCUUUGGCGACUCCUGGUCCUUCGGGACACUCCAACCACCGGAAAACUAGGUUGACACAUCGGUCUUUUCUAUUCCCUUUCUCUUGCCCCUUAAUUUCUUGGAAUGUAAUUUACUGCGAUUGUGCGAGGAAGGACUUGGUAUUUGUUACAAGAGCAAGAAACGUGAGGAUUCUAAGGAAACAGAGGAGAUAUGAAGUCAGGACCAAAAAAAACAAAGUUUGGAUAUGUCUGAAAGGAGAGCAAGAAACGUGAGGAUUCUAAGGAAACAGAGGAGAUAUGAAGUCAGGACCAAAAAAACAAAGUAUGGAUAUGUCUGAAAGGCAAUUAGAGGCUGCCAAUUGGAUAUGUCUGGGAGGCAAUUAGAGGCUGCCAAUGUCAUUCUUGUUAGGCUUUUUUGUUGGGUUGUGGAAGGGUGGCUUUGUGUGCUUGGAGGGGGGGAUCGUGUCGCUGUGUGGAUGGCG